GACUGCAAAUCAAUAAGUAAAUUGGCAUCCAAUAAUGACAACAUUGCUUCAAUUAGUUUAUUUUUAACUGCAGAUGAGCGUUUUGACAUUAACUCAGCCAAUACCUUUUCUGUGACCUGGACAAUGAACACAAUUCUCUUCUCUUUGGUCUUGGUGAAAUUAGUAUAAUUGACACAACCAAUCUGAAAAGUGGUCCCAGCAGAAGAAUUGUAUGAGACAUUAUUCCUGCAUACUUUUUAUGGCUUGAUCUCAUUUAUUUAUUGUAUUAUG